UGCGGCGGCCAUGGCCCAGGUGAGACGCCCGGUCCAUUCCGAACCCGGAAGCUAAGGCCUGCACGGCGAUGUACUGCACCCGACAGGGUGUGGGAGAGUAGCACGCCGCCGCAU
rnacentral:rRNA from 1 species